AGAGUUUGAUCAUGGCUCAGAAUCAACGCUGGCGGCGUGCCUAACACAUGCAAGUCGAACGAGAAAGUGGUAGCAAUACCAUGAGUAAAGUGGCGCACGGGUGAGUAACACGUGACUAACCUACCCUUGAGUGGGGGAUAACUGAGGGAAACCUUAGCUAAUACCGCAUAAUACCCACGGGUCAAAGGAGCAAUUCGCUCGAGGAGGGGGUCGCGGCCGAUUAGUUAGUUGGCGGGGUAAUGGCCCACCAAGACGAUGAUCGGUAUCCGGCCUGAGAGGGCGCACGGACACACUGGAACUGAAACACGGUCCAGACUCCUACGGGAGGCAGCAGUGGGGAAUUUUGCGCAAUGGGGGAAACCCUGACGCAGCAACGCCGCGUGGAGGAUGAAGUCCUUCGGGACGUAAACUCCUUUCGAUCGGGACGAUUAUGACGGUACCGGAAGAAGAAGCCCCGGCUAACUUCGUGCCAGCAGCCGCGGUAAUACGAGGGGGGCGAGCGUUGUUCGGAAUUAUUGGGCGUAAAGGGUGCGUAGGCGGUUUGGUAAGUCUGAUGUGAAAUCUAUGGGCUCAACUCAUAGUCUGCAUCGGAAACUGCCGGGCUUGAGUGUGGGAGAGGUGAGUGGAAUUUCCGGUGUAGCGGUGAAAUGCGUAGAUAUCGGAAGGAACACCUGUGGCGAAAGCGGCUCACUGGACCACAACUGACGCUGAUGCACGAAAGCUAGGGGAGCAAACAGGAUUAGAUACCCUAGUAGUCC
rnacentral:rRNA from 1 species